rnacentral:rRNA from 1 species
AAACCGCCUAGAGGUAAACGGGUGGAUCCGCAAAGUCGGCCCGCGGAAUUCAGCUCGGGAGGUCGCGCGCCCGCGGGUGGGUCGGGGAUCUUUAUCGACCCUCCCACCUCGGGACCGCGCGUCGACCGUGUGCACUUUCCGCGGGCAGAGCGCCACGACCGGUUCUCGGGCGGUCAGAAGGCGGCGGGGAUGGUAGGCGUGCGCUUCGGCGCGCGCUGGUAUAGCCCCGCCUGUCCCGAUCCGCUCGGGGACCGAGGAGCCGCCGCCGGCAGAGGCCGCCUUGCCUUCCCUGGAGGUUCGACUGGCAGAGACUGGGCAACCGUGUCUGCCGACCGCCUCUCUGGAUGGAUGGGGUGGGCCCGCCGGCACAGGGUCGGUGGCGAAUCGGUCGGCCCUCCACCCGACCCGUCUUGAA